UACAGAGGGUGAGCAAGCGUUGUUCGGAAUUAUUGGGCGUAAGGGCGCGAGUAGGCGGUGCGGUAAGUCUGUAGUGAAAUCUACUGGGCUCAACUCAGAGUCUGCUUAUAAGAAACUGCCGUGCUUGAGUGUGGGAGAGGUAGAGUGGAAUUCCGGUGUAGCGGUAGAAAUGCGUAGAUAGUCGGGAGGAACACCUGUGGCGAAAGCGGCUCACUGGACCACAACUGACGCUGAGGCGCGAAAGCUAGGGGAGCAAACAGG
rnacentral:rRNA from 1 species